CAGUGCCGCGGUAAUACGAAGGGUGCAAGCGUUACUCGGAAUUACUGGGCGUAAAGCGUGCGUAGGUGGUGGUUUAAGUCCGUUGUGAAAGCCCUGGGCUCAACCUGGGAAUUGCAGUGGAUACUGGGUCACUAGAGUGUGGUAGAGGAUAGUGGAAUUUCCGGUGUAGCAGUGAAAUGCGUAGAGAUCGGAAGGAACAUCUGUGGCGAAGGCGACUAUCUGGGCCAACACUGACACUGAGGCACGAAAGCGUGGGGAGCAAACAGGAUUAGAUACCCCAGUAGUCCCUGUCUCUUAUACA
rnacentral:rRNA from 1 species